UCCUGGCUCAGGACGAACGCUGGCGGCGUGCCUAAUACAUGCAAGUCGAGCGAGCGGAACUAACAGAUUUACUUCGGUAAUGACGUUAGGAAAGCGAGCGGCGGAUGGGUGAGUAACACGUGGGGAACCUGCCCCAUAGUCUGGGAUACCACUUGGAAACAGGUGCUAAUACCGGAUAAGAAGGCAGAUCGCAUGAUCAGCUUUUAAAAGGCGGCGUAAGCUGUCGCUAUGGGAUGGCCCCGCGGUGCAUUAGCUAGUUGGUAAGGUAAAGGCUUACCAAGGCAAUGAUGCAUAGCCGAGUUGAGAGACUGAUCGGCCACAUUGGGACUGAGACACGGCCCAAACUCCUACGGGAGGCAGCAGUAGGGAAUCUUCCACAAUGGACGCAAGUCUGAUGGAGCAACGCCGCGUGAGUGAAGAAGGUUUUCGGAUCGUAAAGCUCUGUUGUUGGUGAAGAAGGAUAGAGGUAGUAACUGGCCUUUAUUUGACGGUAAUCAACCAGAAAGUCACGGCUAACUACGUGCCAGCAGCCGCGGUAAUACGUAGGUGGCAAGCGUUGUCCGGAUUUAUUGGGCGUAAAGCGAGCGCAGGCGGAAGAAUAAGUCUGAUGUGAAAGCCCUCGGCUUAACCGAGGAACUGCAUCGGAAACUGUUUUUCUUGAGUGCAGAAGAGGAGAGUGGAACUCCAUGUGUAGCGGUGGAAGGCGUAGAUAUAUAGAAGAACACCAGUGGCGAAGGCGGCUCUCUUGUCUGCAACUGACGCUGAGGCUCGAAAGCAUGGGUAGCGAACAGGAUUAGAUACCCUGGUAGUCCAUACCGUAAAACGAUGAGUGCUAAGAGUUGGGAGGUUUCCGCCUCUCAGUGCUGCAGCUAACGCAUUAAGCACUCCGCCUGGGGAGUACGACCGCAAGGUUGAAACUCAAAGGAAUUGACGGGGGCCCGCACAAGCGGUGGAGCAUGUGGUUUAAUUCGAAGCAACGCGAAGAACCUUACCAGGUCUUGACAUCUAGUGCCAUUUGUAGAGAUACAAAGUUCCCUUCGGGGACACUAAGACAGGUGGUGCAUGGCUGUCGUCAGCUCGUGUCGUGAGAUGUUGGGUUAAGUCCCGCAACGAGCGCAACCCUUGUUAUUAGUUGCCAGCAUUAAGUUGGGCACUCUAAUGAGACUGCCGGUGACAAACCGGAGGAAGGUGGGGAUGACGUCAAGUCAUCAUGCCCCUUAUGACCUGGGCUACACACGUGCUACAAUGGACGGUACAACGAGAAGCGAACCUGCGAAGGCAAGCGGAUCUCUUAAAGCCGUUCUCAGUUCGGACUGUAGGCUGCAACUCGCCUACACGAAGCUGGAAUCGCUAGUAAUCGCGGAUCAGCACGCCGCGGUGAAUAAGUUCCCGGGCCUUGCACUCACCGCCCGUCA
rnacentral:rRNA from 1 species